rnacentral:rRNA from 1 species
GACGAACCACCCAAACGUUAUUCGGAAUCACUGGGCUUAAAGCGUGCGUAGGCGGCCUUGAAAGUUAGGUGUGAAAUCCCACAGCUCAACCGUGGAACUGCGCUUAAAACUACAAGGCUAGAGGGAUAUAGAGGUGAGCAGAACAGAUGGUGGAGCGGUGAAAUGCGUUGAUAUCAUCUGGAAUACCGGAGGCGAAGGCGGCUCACUGGGUAUCUUCUGACGCUGAGGUACGAAAGCUAGGGGAGCGAACGGGAUUAGAUACCCCGGUAGUCCUAGCUGUAAACGAUGAGCACUAGAUCGAAGGACUGCACAGUCUUUCGGUCGUAGCGAAAGUGUUAAGUGCUCCGCCUGGGGAGUAUGGUCGCAAGGCUGAA